UGGAGAGUUGUUGAACAGGGUGCUUUGGUUGUACAGAACUGUACAUCAGAUUUUCUGGGCUACCAUAAAACCAUGGCAUCUGGGCCAGCUCAGUAUCUUGAGGUAUGUUAUUAACAUUGAAAUGAAAUCCAGAGCUAAUGGCAAAUUUUCUGUUUCUCAUCAGUCCACUUUCCCCAUAUUUCUGUUCCCUUUAUUCCAUUCUCUCACUUUCUGAAGAUGUUUUGAAGGACAUUUAGGCUUGGUAGAUCUUCAUUAUUGCCCAGCUGGAUUUGCAGGUACAUAAAAAAUGUAGGAGCAACGUAAAAUUUCCUUAGGAAAAUUUCCUUUGCCAUGGAAAAUUAAAAUAAUGAACUGAACUUGUCAAUUACUAAAAAUGAAUUACUAUUUUUCCUUAACAAUUAGGCUUUAAGAGAAAAGAUGUUGAAGCAUUAUCAUAUUGCUGGAAAUGGAGACAAAACCCUUAAACAGUACAGCUAGAGGCGGGAUUUCCAUCUGUUCUGCUAUGGAAAAGAAACUUGUUCAGGAGUGGAGGAUUUGCUGCUUUUUAGAAAAAGAUCAGACAAGAUCCUCUAGCCUGAUGACAACCUAACGAGAAGCACCAUCCAAACAAUGAAGAAGACAUGGAUUGGAAAAGAUCCUUGGGCAUGUGACAGAAAUAAAUGAUCCAGGGGGAUGGGCUAAGGAUGGAUU
rnacentral:lncRNA from 1 species